rnacentral:rRNA from 1 species
UACAGAGGGUGCGAGCGUUAAUCGGAAUUACUGGGCGUAAAGCGCGCGUAGGCGGCUUUGCAAGUCGGGUGUGAAAUCCCCAGGCCUAACCUGGGAACUGCACUCGAGACUGCAUGGCUAGAGUAUCGGAGAGGGAAGUGGAAUUUCAGGUGUAGCGGUGAAAUGCGUAGAUAUCUGGAGGAACACCGGUGGCGAAGGCGGCAAGUCCUGGACCAACACUGAACGCUG